rnacentral:lncRNA from 1 species
UGCACCUGUGGCAUAUGGAAGGUCCCAGGCUAGGGGUCUAACUGGAGCCUACACCACAGCCACAGCAAUGCUGGAUCCUAGCCUUGUCUGUGACCUCCACCGCAGCUCACCACAAAGCCAGAUCCUUAACCCACUGAGAGAAGCCAGGGAUUGAACCUCUUCCUCAUGGAUACUAGUUGGUCCAUUACCACUGAGGCACAAUGGGAACUCCCCCCAAAAAGUGAAUUUGUUUCCUAACUGCUAAUGUGCAGUCAGAGCUGCCCAACCUCCCACUUCCCUUCUUGGAGGUCCCCCCUUACCCAGAUCCCGUCAGGUGCCAGGAAGCCAAAGACACACACGGCAGUUUCUGUUCUCAAGAAGUUCACCGUCCAGCAAGGCAAUGGGGCUACAGUGCAGUGAGGGAAGCGCCAGAGUGCUGGGAAAUUACAUCAGGCGCCAGAGGAAGAUGGGCUUCAUCCGCUCUUUAAGGGCCGACGAGAAGUUUCACCAAGAAAGUGAUCCAGGAAUUGGGUUUUGAGGAACAAGCAGGAGCUCGCUGGACAAAGAGGCGGGCAAGGAGCUUUGUGAACAGGGGCUAAGGUGUAGGAGUGGGGUGGCCGUGGGGGAAACGUGACAGCCGGGAGGGACUAGAAUUGUGUUUUCAUCCCGGAAUCACCGGUGGACCGUCUAAGAAAAUAGAGACCCGUGGGGUCCAACCCCACAGAUUCUGAUUCUGAAUUAUUUGGAAGCUCCAUGAGUGAGUUUGAGGUCCAGGACUGAGAGCCACCACAGGGCUCUCAGGAAGCCAGCUGGGAGCGUAAGUCUAGGUCAGGGGACCAGCCAGCAAGACCCCUUCCCGCCCGACACUGGAGAACCCCAGGUAUCGCGAAGGGGUCUUUUACCCAAAAGAUUCCCGAGGGCAGGACCCAUGGGGAACAGUCUCUCUCCUGCGCCCCCCACCUCCCCCACAUCACCCUGGGAAGAGGCACGAAGUACCAGGACCCAGGACCAGCGGCAACAUGACACUCAUUCAGGUGAGAUGGUCCCUGCUGGAGAAUCGAAUCUCUAACCCUGGAGCUCCCCCUGUGGCGCAACUGGAUCAGCGGCAUUUGUGGAGUGCUGGGGCGCGGGUUCGAUCCCUGGCACAGUGGGUUAAGGAUCCGGCGUUGUCAUAGCUGCGGCUUAGUGCUCAUUCCUGCAAAUGCUUCCAGAGGAAAAUAGGAAGGCAGCAUUUCCCGUGGAGAAAGCAGAUCUUUGGAAGCAGGAAACCCUCACUGGAAUAAUGGUUUCACUGCUCCGUGGGAGCCCUCCCGCCCCUGAAGUCAUCCCUCUAAGCUCCUCUGUGUAGAAACUCAGGGUAAUAAUCCACCCGGAAGGCUGAUAACAAAAAGAAAAGCAUCGCAUUGGGCGCCUGGCUUAUAGGAAGCCCCCAGUGAACAGCAACAACAAUAACACAUCCGACAGCGCUCAUUUUGAAAGCACUUUCGCUUAUCCAUAAAUUACAGAUAACGCAUAUGUUUGCCAAAAUACUCUGCUACCAGGUGGCUGCCCAAAGGUCAGCCUGCAAGACUUCCUGUUCCUUCUCUUUCCAUCUGGUGACCCCUCACCCGCUGGGCAUCUCUCACUGGACCAAACCCAGAAACCUGAUCCCAUCUUGCUUCACCUUUGACUGUGAAGUGUCCAUUAAAUGGCUAUUAAUAAACUCCGUUUCUGCCCAGGUCAAGGCAGGGGCGGACGCCAACAAGCCAAGUCCCAUUUCCUUUAUUCCGAACGACUGUGAAGUUCAAAUCACCUUCGGUAAAAAUAAUUCACUCAGCCUUUCAACAAAACUCUCUCCUUGUGGGCUGGGAUGUUUUAUAUAUUGAUUGAUUCAUCUUUCAUGUGGCCCCACUUCUGGUAUGAUGGAACAAAACAACACCGUCCCUGCCCGGGUGUGCCCUGUCCGGGGUCCCACUGUGACAGGGCGUUUUUGGACAGGGGACACCAGGGACCAAAAGACAGUAGUGAGACGCUCCCUGCAAAGGGCUGCACUUCCACAGAGUAAGGGAGGCACCGGCAGGGCCUGAGGGAUGUAAGAGCAUGGAAAUAGGGUCCUCCCGGCCAAGGCCACACUCAAGGGCUGAAAUCCAGAGAUGGUGACUCCAGUUUGCUCCAAAAAGCAUUCCAGCCUGUGAUGCCAAAGCGAUCAUCUUGGACGGCCCGCAGGAGGGUACCUCCGCCGGGGGGGCAGGGUGUCAGCCUAUGCCCUGGGGUGACGGUGGGGAGAGGGCGGGUGGGGGCUGGCAGGGAGGUGGUUCGUGUGGGAGCUUGAGAAGGAAGGGCACCAAACUUGUCAUCUCUGCAUUUCCCAAGUGGCCUCAGUUUGACUUUAUUUACAGGGAGGGGUCUGCAGAUGUGUUCACUGACAGCAAGGGGUCCGCAGCGGGGACUGCAGGUGCGGCAAACCGCGGUCAGCCCAACGCCCUGGACCAGGGUGGGCGCACGGGGCCCCGCUGGGCAGAGUGAACAAAAGCACCCCUCUGGAGGAACAGAAUCCAAAACGGUGCCCCUUCCUCCCGAUCGUCCCAGCCACCCUCAGUGCCAGGGCCCAGCAGGAUGGGUGAGCGGAGCCCAGUUAGAUUUCUGCCCCACCCCCACCCCACCCCCCGUUGCCCCUCAGCCAGCAGCUCUCUGUGCAGGGCCCUGCAGGGCAGCCCCGCCAGGCACCAUUCGCCAAAGGCUCCCGAUAAGCUCGAGCAACAGUGAGCUUAGCUGCUCAGAGGGGGCACUCCUGAGCCUGCAGAGUCUCCUGUGGCUGCUGACCGCCCUGUGGGGGAGGGGUCGGGGCUCCAAAGUGACAGCAGGUCUGCUCAGAGCCACACCACGAGCCUGGAACCCGGACGUCCAGACUCUUCCCAUUCUCUACGUUCCUCUCCUCCUGACAGAGGGUCUUGCUCCCUUCAUCCUGGUCACAUAAACCCUGCAGAAGUUCAGAGGCGCCCCUCCUGCCUCCGCCACCCUGCUGUCCCUGCUGGAGGAGACGUCACUCUGCAGCCCCCGCCCCCACCCGGACUACAGCUCCACAGACCAGGACUGUCGCGGUCCCGUGCAUCCUGCUUUUCUGGCAGCCCUGUCUACAUUAAAAAAAAAAAAAAAAA